rnacentral:rRNA from 1 species
GAUGAACGCUGGCGGCGUGCCUAAUACAUGCAAGUCGAGCGAACGGACGAGAAGCUUGCUUCUCUGAUGUUAGCGGCGGACGGGUGAGUAACACGUGGAUAACCUACCUUUAGACCGGGAAAACUUCCGGAAACCGUAGCCUAAUCCGGAGAAAUUUUUGAACCGGCUUGGUUCAAAGUGAAAACAGGGUUUGCCGGCCCCUAUUGCAGGAUCCGCGCUGCAUUAGCUAGUUGGUAAGGUAACGGCUUACCAAGGCAACGAUGCAUAGCCGACCUGAGAGGGUGAUCGGCCACACUGGAACUGAGACACGGUCCAGACUCCUACGGGAGGCAGCAGUAGGGAAUCUUCCGCAAUGGGCGAAAGCCUGACGGAGCAACGCCGCGUGAGUGAUGAAGGUCUUCGGAUCGUAAAACUCUGUUAUUAGGGAAGAACAUAUGUGUAAGUAACUGUGCACAUCUUGACGGUACCUAAUCAGAAAGCCACGGCUAACUACGUG